AAAAAAAUGGCCUCCACCACUUGAUGGGAGGAGCAGCAAAGUCUAAUUACAAAAGGGCAUGGACACGAGGAGCUUGUCUAUUAUGGGUAAGAUUCUGGAACCCAAAGUUGGCAAAACAAGAUGCUGGUCCUUACCACUGUGAACUAUUUGGGAGAGAGAUCUUUAUCACUUAUUCGGAAAUGAGACAAAGGACAA